UUGGCGCUUAAGUCAAGGCCAUAGUUUACUGAAGCUAUUGGUUUCAAGCAGGAGCCUAAAGAAAUAUCUUUUUAUGGUCUGUUGGCCAUUGCAGGAAUUUGUAAGUCUAAUGGUCAAUUCAUUAGAAAGAAACAUCU
ensembl:snoRNA Gm25896 small nucleolar RNA SNORA2/SNORA34 family